ACCAUUCAAGUUACUAGGACACCCUAAAGAGGGUUAAAACCAGGAAGAGAACACAGGAUUUGGUCUCAGGUACUGAGACACUCAGACGCACACACAAAAUAAAAUCCCAACCAUUUCCAAAAGGUUCACUUUGAUACAGUAUCAGAAGCAUUAGGAGGCGUUGCUGUCUUACACAGCUUCCAUGGUUUGCUAAUGAGAACUGACCAUACCCUCUUCCUUGACAGGCAAGUGGCUACUAACCAAGAGAGCAGGGAAAGAAACCUGCAUUGGUAGACAGCCCCAUCCACGUGUUUUACUUCAUGGGGCUGCCCAUGUGGUGCUAGUGGUGAAGAGCCUGCCUGUCAAUGAAACUAACAAACAUACUGUAAAUCAACUAUACUCCAAUACAAUUUUUAAAAAUAUUAAAAAAAAAAAGUGUUCCAGCCUGGGAAAUCACCCAUGCAGGUGA
rnacentral:lncRNA from 1 species